rnacentral:rRNA from 1 species
CCUACGGGAGGCAGCAGUGGGGAAUUUUGGACAAUGGGCGCAAGCCUGAUCCAGCCAUGCCGCGUGUGGGAAGAAGGCCUUCGGGUUGUAAACCACUUUUGUCAGGGAAGAAACGGUCUGGUCUAAUAAACCGGACUAAUGACGGUACCUGAAGAAUAAGCACCGGCUAACUACGUGCCAGCAGCCGCGGUAAUACGUAGGGUGCAAGCGUUAAUCGGAAUUACUGGGCGUAAAGCGUGCGCAGGCGGCUUUGCAAGACAGAUGUGAAAUCCCCGGGGCUCAACCUGGGAACUGCAUUUGUGACUGCAAGGCUAGAGUACGGCAGAGGGGGGAUGGGAAUUCCGCGUGUAGCAGUGAAAUGCGUAGAUAUGCGGAGGAACACCGAUGGCGAAGGCAAUCCCCUGGGCCUGUACUGACGCUCAUGCACGAAAGCGUGGGGAGCAAACAGGAUUAGAUACCCUGGUAGUCCACGCCCUAAACGAUGUCAACUGGUUGUUGGGAGGGUUUCUUCUCAGUAACGAAGCUAACGCGUGAGUUGACCGCCUGGGGGAGGACGGCCGCGAGUAGUUAACGUUACUAAGUUAGUUAGUUAGCGGCGNGNGAGNGCGACGGACGACGACGAGGGAGGAGG